rnacentral:rRNA from 1 species
AUGCAUUUAGGUGCAGCGUCGCGUGUUUCUUACCGGAGGUAGAGCUACUGGAUGGCCGAUGGGCCCCACAGGGUUACUGACGUCAGCCAAACUCCGAAUGCCGGUAAGUCCAAGAACGCGGCAGUGAGACGGCGGGGGAUAAGCUCCGUGCGUCGAGAGGGAAACAGCCCAGAUCGCCGGCUAAGGCCCCUAAGCGUGUGCUAAGUGGAAAAGGAUGUGCAGUCGCAAAGACAACCAGGAGGUUGGCUUAGAAGCAGCCACCCUUGAAAGAGUGCGUAAUAGCUCACUGGUCAAGUGAUUGUGCGCCGAUAAUGUAGCGGGGCUCAAGCACACCGCCGAAGCCGCGGCAACGCAGCAAUGCGUUGGGUAGGGGAGCGUCCUGCAUCCGGUGAAGCCACGGAGUGAUCCAGUGGUGGAGGGUGUGGGAGUGAGAAUGCAGGCAUGAGUAGCGAUAAGGCAAGUGAGAACCUUGCCCGCCGAAAGACCAAGGGUUCCUGGGGCAGGCCAGUCCGCCCAGGGUGAGUCGGGACCUAAGGCGAGGCCGACAGGCGUAGUCGAUGGACAACGGGUUGAUAUUCCCGUACCCGUGUGUGAGCGCCCAAUGACGAAUCAUCGGUACUAACCGCCCAAAAGGUGACUAACCGAGUCCUUUUAGGACAAGGGGGUCGCCGGCUGCGCGGGACCUUCGGUGGUAGUAGUCAAGCGAUGGGGUGACGCAGGAAGGUAGCCGUACCAGUCAGUGGUAAUACUGGGGCAAACCUGUAGCGCGAGAUCUAGGCAAAUCCGGAUCUCUUCAUGCGUGAGAGGUGAUGCAUAGCCGAGUGAGGCGAAUUCGGUGAUCCUCAGCUGCCGAGAAAAGCCUCUAGCGAGCACACACACGGCCCGUACCCCAAACCAACACAGGUGGUCAGGUAGAGAAUACCGAGGCGUACGAGUGAACUAUGGUUAAGGAACUCGGCAAAAUACCCCCGUAACUUCGGGAGAAGGGGGACCCCCUGCGGUCAAGGCCCACGCGGCCGGCAGCGGCGGGGGGUGGCACAAACCAGUGAGAAGCGACUGUUUACUAAAAACACAGGUCCGUGCGAAGUCGCAAGACGAUGUAUACGGACUGACGCCUGCCCGGUGCUGGAAGGUUAAGAGGACCCGUUAACCCCUCGGGGUGAAGCGGAGAAUUUAAGCCCCAGUAAACGGCGGUGGUAACUAUAACCAUCCUAAGGUAGCGAAAUUCCUUGUCGGGUAAGUUCCGACCUGCACGAAUGGCGUAACGACUUCUCAACUGUCUCAACCAUAGACUCGGCGAAAUUGCACUACGAGUAAAGAUGCUCGUUACGCGCGGCAGGACGAAAAGACCCCGGGACCUUCACUAUAGCUUGGUAUUGGCGUUCGAUACGGUUUGUGUAGGAUAGGUGGGAGACUAUGAAACUCACACGCCAGUGUGGGUGGAGUCGUUGUUGAAAUACCACUCUGAUCGUAUUGGACUUCUAACCUCGAACCGUCUAUCCGGUUCAGGGACAGUGCCUGGUGGGUAGUUUAACUGGGGCGGUUGCCUCCUAAAAUGUAACGGAGGCGCCCAAAGGUUCCCUCAACCUGGACGGCAAUCAGGUGUUGAGUGCAAGUGCACAAGGGAGCUUGACUGCGAGACUGACACGUCAAGCAGGGACGAAAGUCGGGACUAGUGAUCCGGCACCCCCGAGUGGAAGGGGUGUCGCUCAACGGAUAAAAGGUACCCCGGGGAUAACAGGCUGAUCUUCCCCAAGAGUCCAUAUCGACGGGAUGGUUUGGCACCUCGAUGUCGGCUCGUCGCAUCCUGGGGCUGGAGCAGGUCCCAAGGGUUGGGCUGUUCGCCCAUUAAAGCGGCACGCGAGCUGGGUUUAGAACGUCGUGAGACAGUUCGGUCUCUAUCCGCCGCGCGCGUCAGAAGCUUGAGGAAACCUGUCCCUAGUACGAGAGGACCGGGACGGACGAACCUCUGGUCCACCAGUUGUCCCACCAGGGGCACCGCUGGAUAGCCACGUUCGGACAGGAUAACCGCUGAAAGCAUCUAAGCGGGAAACCUUCUCCAAGACCAGGCUUCUCACCCAUCAAGUGGGAUAAGGCCCCCCGCAGAACACGGGAUCGAUAGACCAGACCUACACACCCCGCAAGGGGCGCAGGGAACUGGCACUAACCGGCCGAAAACUUACAACA